rnacentral:lncRNA from 1 species
AUGCAGGCCGGGCUUCCUCCUCCCAGUGCGGGCGGGGGGGGGGGGGGGGGGGGGGGGGGGGUGGGGGGGGGGGGGGGGAGGGGGGGGGGGGGAAGGUGGUCCCGACUCCCCCUCCGCCGUAGCCCGCAAAGCCGAUCCUGGCCUCCUGCAGAGACGCCUCAGCGCCCUCCUGCAGACCUGACGGCCCCCUCCCCGGGCACCCCGGCCCUGGCCGGGUCUCGCGGGUACCCCCUCCUCCCCGGGAGCCGCCGGCGGAGCGCCGGUGGAGGAAGCGAGGAGACCCAGGAGGAUGCCGCCGCCGCCGCCGCUGCAGGGCCCGGGGUUCCUGCGGGGCGCGAGGCCUCCCUAACCAGGGAAACCCGCCCAGGCCAGGAGGAGCGGCUAGAGCUGUGGAGAGUCAAAGAGAGGAGAUGCGCUCAGAGAUUACCCCCUCCUUCUCCACUCCCCACCACCAGGCUGGGCCCUCCAGCUUCGGGGGAUCCUGGCCCUCCCUCUGCCACUACCCUCUUCUCCUCGGGGAACUGCCUCUGACUGAGUGACUGUGGGUCCAACGUCCCAGGAGAAAGUAGAGUUCUCGCCCCUCUGCCCGUCCUGCUCCCCCGCGACCCUGGCCGCCCUCUCUUCCGGGCUGUGGUUUUCUCACUCACCUCAGGGUGCUCCUGGAAGCAAAGGUGCCUCCCGGCCACCAGCUCUCCAGGGACGCCAGAUGCCCACACAUCUGGAUUCCCACCUUGUAUCUCACAGUACACAGCUGUUUCUUUAAUUGUAUGCAGAGACAAUGAGCCUAAGCAAACACUUGUAAGCAAAGGGAAAUAAACACGCAAUCCGCACUGGAACCUUCCGCCCG